GACGAACGCUGGCGGCGUGCUUAACACAUGCAAGUCGAACGAAGUGGCGAACGGGUGAGUAACGCGUAAUCAACCUGCCCUUCAGAGGGGGACAACAGUUGGAAACGACUGCUAAUACCGCAUACUGAAGGAGGGGAUUGCGUCUGAUUAGCUAGGUGGAGGGGUAACGGCCCACCAAGGCGAUGAUCAGUAGCCGGUCUGGGGAGAUGGACCGCCACAUUGGGACUGAGACACGGCCCAGACUCCUACGGGAGGGAGCAGGGGGGAAACUUCCGAAAUGGAGGGAAGUCUGACGGAGCAACGCCGCGGGGGGGAAGACGGCCUUCGGGUUGUAAAGCUCUGUUAAGCGGGACGCGGUACCGGAAUAGAAAGCCACGGCUAACUACGUGCCAGCAGCCGCGGUAAUAC
rnacentral:rRNA from 1 species